rnacentral:rRNA from 1 species
UACAGAGGUCCCAAGCGUUGUUCGGAUUCACUGGGCGUAAAGGGUGCGUAGGUGGUCAGGUAAGUCGGAUGUGAAAUCUCCGAGCUCAACUCGGAAACUGCAUUGGAAACUACCUGGCUCGAGGGUUGGAGGGGGGACUGGAAUGCUUGGUGUAGCAGUGAAAUGCGUAGAUAUCAAGCGGAACACCAGUGGCGAAGGCGAGUCCCUGGACAACUCCUGACACUGAUGCACGAAAGCUAGGGGAGCAAACGGG